UUGUUGGUAAGGUAAAAGCUUACCAAGGCUUCGAUCAGUAGCUGGUCUGAGAGGACGACCAGCCACACUGGGACUGAGACACGGCCCAGACUCCUACGGGAGGCAGCAGUGGGGAACUUUGGACAAUGGGGGCAACCCUGAUCCAGCCAUGCCGCGUGAGUGAAGAAGGCCUUCGGGUUGUAAAGCUCUUUCAGCCGGAACGAAACGGUUACGGAUAACACCCGUGACUACUGACGGUACCGGAAGAAGAAGCACCGGCUAACUACGUGCCAGCAGCCGCGGUAAUACGUAGGGUGCGAGCGUUAAUCGGAAUUACUGGGCGUAAAGCGUGCGCAGGUGGUUUUGUAAGUCAGAUGUGAAAGCCCCGGGCUCAACCUGGGAACUGCGUUUGAAACUACAAGACUAGAGUGUGGCAGAGGGGGGUGGAAUUCCGCGUGUAGCAGUGAAAUGCGUAGAGAUGUGGAGGAACACCGAUGGCGAAGGCAGCCCCCUGGGUCAACACUGACGCUCAGGCACGAAAGCAUGGGGAGCAAACAGGAUUAGAUACCCUGGUAGUCCAUGCCCUAAACGAUGUCAACUAGUUGUCGGGCCUUUACGGGCUUGGUAACGUAGCUAACGCGUGAAGUUGACCGCCUGGGGAGUACGAUCGCAAGAUUAAAACUCAAAUGAAUUGACGGGGACCCGCACAAGCGGUGGAUUAUGUGGAUUAAUUCGAUGCAACGCGAAAAACCUUACCUACCCUUGACAUGUAUCGAAGCCCGCAGAAAAGCGGGGGUGCCCGAAAGGGAACGAUAACACAGGUGCUGCAUGGCUGUCGUCAGCUCGUGUCGUGAGAUGUUGGGUUAAGUCCCGCAACGAGCGCAACCCUUGUCAUUAAUUGCCAUCAUUUAGUUGGGCACUUUAAUGAGACUGCCGG
rnacentral:rRNA from 1 species